rnacentral:rRNA from 1 species
CCUACGGGGGGCAGCAGUGGGGAAUAUUGGACAAUGGGCGAAAGUCUGAUCCAGCCAUGCCGCGUGUGUGAAGAAGGCCUUCGGGUUGUAAAGCACUUUCAGUGGGGAAGAAAGCCUUGGGGCUAAUACCCUCGAGGAAGGACAUCACCCACAGAAGAAGCACCGGCUAACUCCGUGCCAGCAGCCGCGGUAAUACGGAGGGUGCGAGCGUUAAUCGGAAUUACUGGGCGUAAAGCGCGCGUAGGCGGUCUGAUAAGCCGGUUGUGAAAGCCCCGGGCUCAACCUGGGAACGGCAUCCGGAACUGUCAGGCUAGAGUGCAGGAGAGGAAGGUAGAAUUCCCGGUGUAGGAGUGAAAUGCGUAGAGAUCGGGAGGAAUACCAGUGGCGAAGGCGGCCUUCUGGACUGACACUGACGCUGAGGUGCGAAAGCGUGGGUAGCAAACAGGAUUAGAUACCCCUGUAGUC